GAGAUCACUUCCGUGUGCAAAUCUUAUCAAACAUGCGCUGACUGGUUUGCUGCAUCAUUUCAUAAACAAGAAUGUUGCAGACGUUUUAAUCGCGGUGAAAAGAUUUCCGCUCUUUCGUAAUGAAUGAAACUCUGAACCCAGAUAGUUUAGGACGAUUUUACGGUUUGGUGAGGAACAAUGCCUCUGCAGUCUCUUCAUCUGAUCUGUAUCUUAACUCCAUCCACCCAUUUUAGUUCCAUAACCCUUAAAAAACCCAGGCCGAACAAAAAUCUUAUCAAUCCAUCUACCUUUGACUUCUCCAACCUAAGUCUUAACAGCCUUUUGGGAAAAGAUUUCUCUUACUCUGAAGAAAAGCUUGCAUUUCUCUAGCUUUUUUCAUGAUCUCAGAUCCUCUCAGAGCGUUUUACAGCCAAUGGAGUACUUUUUGAAGUCACUGUUGUAAGGUGAUGUCAGCCAAUCAGCAUCAUUUGUUAUCUUUAGGUGAACAGGAAGGAAACAGAAUCAGAAAAUACUCAGGACAGAAUUGACAAACCAAUUCACAUUUCAGUUAAGGAUGCUUUGGCUGACAACAGAAAAAUAGAUUUUAAAAAUAACUUCAUUUUUGUUGCACCAGAUGUGGAGGGACAUAUGAAGAACAGAACGUACAACUAAGAAGUGAUUUGUAAAUUGUUGGGCCGGAGAGAGAGAGGAAAGGAAAAAAAUUACACACUUCUACACCACCAGGAUGAUGGUCACUAUGAUGUCUUUUUAAAUUAAAAUAUAUAUUAAUAUCAUAAAGCAAGAAAUUAUAAAUGGCGAGACCAUUGAUAAGGUUCCAUCUCUGGAACAGCCUUUGACUUUCUGCAGGCCAAAUUUCCCUCUGAUCUGAUGAAAUCCCCUCAUGUGACUCACCAACCAAAGACUUUUGCUUGGGCUCGCUUGAUUUGUUGAUUUCCAAAUGUCAGUCUGGUACUUAUAAGAAUUUUAAAUUUAAAAAGAAUGUACUCUUAAAAAAAUAUAUGUUCAGUUCUCCCUGAUAUGCUACCAAUGGAUAUAAAAUUGAACCUGAGGGGCAAAUUAAAGGGAAGGGGCCUCAGUGGAGCUAAAAACCCAGACAUUUGAGAAAUCUGGAGAAAGCUGUUGGGAUACUGGGACAUUUAGUGAAAAACCCACACUGUCCCAGCAAAACCCGGGAUGUCUGGUCACCAGAUGGAAGAUUUGCCCUGGUGUAGCAGGGAGCCUGCUGAAAAUCUGGAAGGAGUUUGGAACUGAAUCUUCAAGGCUAUUUAUAAACUAAAAGCAUGGCAUAACAUACAAAUGGGUCAUAAAGUAUUUUUGUUUGCAUUAAUUAAUUAAUGGGGAAGUAUCUCUUCUUCUGGCGUAUUGGUUGCCUUUACAAUUUUGUGUCUUAUUGAUUUUAGUUUGUUUGUUACAAUAAAAGUCUUAAAACAUGAAA